rnacentral:rRNA from 1 species
GGCUUCCAUGGCGCCUGUUUAUCAAAAACAUGGUUUUUUGUAAUUUUAAAAAAUCGGACCUGCUCAGUGCUUAAAAGUAAAAAGCCGCAGUAUAUUGACUGUGCUAAGGUAGCAUAAUCAUUUGCCUUUUAAUUAGAGGCUAGUAUGAAUGGUUUGACGAGAUAAAUUCUGUCUCUGGAGAGUAUAUUAAAUUUGAUUAGAUGGUAAAAAGGCCACCAUAAUGCUAAGGGACGAUAAGACCCUAUUAAGCUUAAUUUUAGAAUUUUACUGGGGCGGUAUAUUGAGAUAAAGAUCUUAAUAAAGCGGUUAAUAGGAUAGGGACCCAAUAUUAUUGAGUGUAUGAUAAAGUUACUAUAGGGAUAACAGCUUAAUUUUUUUAGGAAGUUCUUAUUCUAAAAAGAGUUUGAGACCUCGAUGUUGAAUUAAAAGUUCUUUUUGGCGCAGGAGCUAAGAGAGAAAGUCUGUUCGACUUUUGAAUUUUUACGUGAUCUGAGUUCAGACCGGCCAUGAAAG